AGUCACUGACAUUAGAUACCCCUGUAGUCCAGGGUGUAAACGCUGCAGACUUGGUGUUGGAAGCCCUUUGGGGGCAUUCAGUGCCGGAGAGAAGUUGUUAAGUCUGCUACUUGGGGAGUACGUCCGCAAGGAUGAAACUUAAAGGAAUUGGCGGGGAGCACCGCAACGGGAGGAGCGUGCGGUUUAAUUGGAUUCAACACCGUAAAACUCACCAGGGAAGACUGUUACAUGAAGGCCGAGAUGAAGACUCUGCUAGAUUUUCAG
rnacentral:rRNA from 1 species